GUAGGUGGCAAGCGUUGUCCGGAAUUAUUGGGCGUAAAGCGCGCGCAGGCGGUUCUUUAAGUCUGAUGUGAAAGCCCACGGCUCAACCGUGGAGGGUCAUUGGAAACUGGAGAACUUGAGUACAGAAGAGGAAAGCGGAAUUCCACGUGUAGCGGUGAAAUGCGUAGAGAUGUGGAGGAACACCAGUGGCGAAGGCGGCUUUCUGGUCUGUAACUGACGCUGAGGCACGAAAGCGUGGGGAGCAAACAGGAUUAGAUACCCUGGUAGUCCACGCCGUAAACGAUGAGUGCUAAGUGUUAGGGGGUUUCCGCCCCCCUUAGUGCUGCAGCUAACGCAUUAAGCACUCCGCCUGGGAUACGGCCGCAAGGCUG
rnacentral:rRNA from 1 species